GCGAGAUUAAGCUCAGGGUCAAGUUCUGAGCAAAAAGUGUCAAGGAGCCUUUUUGCAACCUCCUAUAAUAUUGAAACAGAUUCUGUGCCCUUUAAAGGAGAUAAUAACUAACAUCUGGGGAGCGCUUUACAAUUUAGAAAAGGCCUUUCACACACAGGCCUGUUUCAUCUUCACAACAAUCUUAUAAAACAGAUAUAUUGUUCCCAUUUCCCAAAUAAUGAAACGGAAGCGCCGAAAAUAUCUCCUAUAGGGCUCUUCAAACUGUGGUCAACUUAGUAAAUGAUGUUGACAGUGGAAGUGUGAUCAUUUUAUUUUCCUGCCUUUGGAAUUGAAGAUUGUAAUUUUGCAAAAAUUUUGUUGAAGAUGAUGUAGCUUUGGUUCAGAGAGCUGGAGUACAAUGGCACCAUCUCAGCUCGCCGCAACCUCCACCUCCUGGGUUCAAGCGAUUCUCCUGCCUCAGCCUCCCGAGUAGCUGGGAUUACAGGUUCCAAGUCUCUUCUUCGGCCUCUCAAACAUGGUACCAUCCCUAAUGAAGUCAACGGGUCCAGCAUGACAGGAUGGAAGUACAAGUGUCAGCACCUAUGUGAGUCCCAAGAGGGGAAAUUAGAAACAAAAAGGAAGAAGAGGACAUAGGCCAGGCACGGCGGCUCACGCCUGUAAUCCCAACACUUUGGGAGGCCAAGGUGGGCAGAUCACCUGAGGUCAGGAGUUCAAGACCAGCCUGGUCAACAUGGCAAAAGCCCAUCUCUACUAAAAAAUACAAAAAAUUAGCCAGGCGUGGUGGUGGGAGCCUGUAAUCCCACCUACUCGGGAGGCUGAGGCAGGAGAAUUGCUUCAAUCUGGGAGGCAGAGGUUGCAGUGAGCUGAGAUCGUGCCAUUGCACUCCAGCCUGGGCGACAGAGUAAGACUCUGUCUCAG
rnacentral:lncRNA from 10 species